rnacentral:rRNA from 1 species
GUGCCAGCAGCCGCGGUAAUACGAAGGAUUCGAGCGUUAUCCGGAUUUAUUGGGUUUAAAGGGUGCGUAGGUGGACUAAUAAGUCAGUGGUGAAAGCCCGCAGCUUAACUGCGGAACUGCCAUUGAUACUGUUAGUCUUGAGUACAGUUGAGGUGGGCGGAAUGUGUCAUGUAGCGGUGAAAUGCUUAGAUAUGACACAGAACACCGAUUGCGAAGGCAGCUCACUAAGCUGUAACUGACACUGAGGCACGAAAGCGUGGGGAGCAAACAGGAUUAGAUACCCCAGUAGUCC